GGCCAAUGCUACCUGUAGCUCCUUCGUCUUCGCCUCAAUAUCUUUUUUUUUUUUUUUAAAGGAAGUUGAAAUUUCAUUAAAUUUUAAGAGAACAAAGGGGCUGAAAGGCGCAGUCCAAAACAAUAAAAUACAACCCAAAAGCCCAAAAUCCAUGGUGAGCCAGCGAGGAAAUCUCCAGAAACCAGUCGUGGAAGACACUCCGCGAAGCUACGCCGCCCCUACUUCUUAACAUGUAUGAAGAAGUGUGUUGAUGUGGGUAUGUAUUUGAAGUUAGCUGAUCUUUGCAAAAUUAAAGAAAUCACAAUUGAUUGAAUAUGAUGAAAGCAUUAUAUGAAAUUAUUCUCAUUUUUUUGCUGUGAAUGUGGGGAUUGUGCUCCAUUGUGAAAGUGGAACUUUGGACUAUGAAACUGGCUCAUUCUCAGGGUAUCAUUCAGGUCAUGGUUGAGUGUGAUAAUCAAGGGGUAGUGGACAUGGUGAAUGGUUCGGUUCUACCUUUGGGUAGCUGCUCAGCCCUUGUGAAAGCCAUUUGGCAGGUUUCUUGGCCUGUUAGAGUAGUGCACAUUUGCACGGAAGCAAACAUG
rnacentral:misc_RNA from 1 species